AUCCCAUGGUGAGGACAGGCAGCUACAUAUUCCUGCAGACGUUCCCAUGCUUUGGGAAUCAUCUCAUCCGUAGUCUCCUGGAAGCUUGAUAUUCUCCUGCGGAGGGC
rfam:Oryza glumipatula chromosome 5, whole genome shotgun sequence.